AAAUACGGUCUACGUGGCAGCCGGGGAGGUAGAGAGGACGUCGCUGGGGCGCCUCAGGGACUUUCCCUGUCCCGCUGGGAAAGCGUGAUCUCACCCGGUUCCUCCCUCCUCGCCGGACGCGGAAGGGGCGGGCGGAGGCCGUGCGCCUGGGGCUACAGGCGCGCCCUCCGCGCCCUGCCAUCCGCGGGCAUCGCCACCAGGCCAUCAGGCCACCAACAUCCGCCCCGAGGACCCGAGCAGUGCGGCCGGUCGCCCCCGCGACCCCAGGUCAGUUCUACAGCCCCCAGGGGUCCUGGUGCCCGUGAGCAGGGUGGAGACACCGGGCCUGCAGCGCAGCGGGGCGGCGUGCGGAACAUGACUUCAUCAUCCAGUGUUUCUCCCGCAGCCGCUGGA
rnacentral:lncRNA from 1 species